AAUUAGGGACCUUAAGCAAACAGGACGGCAACGCGACGACGACGGCUAUUCACACAAUGGUAUUCCUGAUCUCGUACAAAAGAAAUGAAUAAUUAAAAGCCCCACGGGAGUUAGAGAUGUUGUUGUUAGGGCUUUUUACAACGGCAAACCAGAGAUUUUCACGUCUUGUGUACAACGCAAACAUGUCAAGACGCGACAAGUGAAACUACAAAUUUGCUCAGCAGACACGUUUUUAACCAUAAAGCCUUUGUUAUAAUCUCUUCAAACUGAACUCAAUUCAUAUAUACAUGCAGUGGAUAAUACAC